UACGGAGGGGGCUAGCGUUGUCCGGAAUCAUUGGGCGUAAAGCGCGCGUAGGUGGCCUCGUAAGUCCGCUGUGAAAGUCAAAGGCUCAACCUUUGAAAGCCGGUGGAUACUGUGAGGCUAGAGUACGGAAGAGGCGAGUGGAAUUCCUGGUGUAGCGGUGGAAUGCGCAGAUAUCAGGAGGAACACCAAUAGCGAAGGCAGCUCGCUGGGACGUUACUGACACUGAGGCGCGAAAGCGUGGGGAGCGAACGGG
rnacentral:rRNA from 1 species